rnacentral:rRNA from 2 species
GACGAAGGAUGCAAGCGUUAUCCGGAUUCAUUGGGUUUAAAGGGUGCGUAGGCGGCCUAAUAAGUCAGUGGUGAAAUCUCCUCGCUUAACGAGGAAACUGCCAUUGAUACUGUUGGGCUUGAGUACAGAUGCUGUGGGCGGAAUAUGACAUGUAGUGGUGAAAUACAUAGAGAUGUCAUAGAACACCGAUUGCGAAGGCAGCUCACAAAACUGUAACUGACGCUGAGGCACGAAAGUGCGGGGAUCAAACAGG